GGGAGGAAGUUAAAUUCAGGAUCUUCCUAUGCCACCAUCUUGGACACCCCCCUCAUGAUUAGAACUUUUAAGAUCUACUCUCUUAGCAACUUUCAUGUAUACAAUACAGUAUUAUUAACCACAGUCACCACUCUGUACAUUACAUUCUUAGGACUAAUUUAUUUUAUAACUGAAAGUUUGUACCUUUUGACCACCUUUACUCAUUUUAGCCCCUCCUACCACCUACCUCUGGUAACCACUGAUUGUUCUCUGUAUCUAUGCAUUCAGUUUGUUUGUUUGCUUACUUGUUUUUUUAGAUUCUACAUAUAUGUAAGAUCAUAUGGUAUUUUGUCUUUCUUUGACUUAUUUCACUUAGCAUAAUCUCCUCAAGGUCCAUGUUGUGACAAAUGGAAAGAUUUCCUGGUACAUUUUCUUAUUAAGCCUCUAAAAGAAGUCAUGUGAAAAAGACAGAGGACUCAUGACUGUUCCCAUUUUGCAUUUGGAGAACCAAGGCUCAACCAUAUUGAGCUGACCCAGGCCACUGUGUAAUUCUUUACAAGGGGCACCUGGAUGACAGUCGGUUGAGUGUCUGACUCUUGGUUUUGGCUCAGGUCAUGAUCUCGGGGUUGUGGGAUAGAGCCCCACAUUGAACACCAUGCUCAGCGAAUGAAAAUGGUACAGAUUUGUACAAGCUAAACCACAGGAAGAAGGCUGGGAAACUAAGGAACUUGGGACCUGGAUUGAAGGUACAUUUUCAGAGAAUUUGCAUUUACUUCUGCUGGUCACCAAGGUAUGUGAAGGAUCUGGGACCAUUUAAAUUUUUCAAUUUGAGGC